UGGGGAAUAUUGGACAAUGGGCGCAAGCCUGAUCCAGCCAUACCGCGUGGGUGAAGAAGGCCUUCGGGUUGUAAAGCCCUUUUGUUGGGGAAGAAAAGCAGCAGAUUAAUACUCCGCUGUUCUGACGGUACCCAAAGAAUAAGCACCGGCUAACUUCGUGCCAGCAGCCGCGGUAAUACGAAGGGUGCAAGCGUUACUCGGAAUUACUGGGCGUAAAGCGUGCGUAGGUGGUUGGUUAAGUCUGUCGUGAAAGCCCUGGGCUCAACCUGGGAACUGCGAUGGAAACUGGCUGACUAGAGUGUGGUAGAGGGUAGCGGAAUUCCUGGUGUAGCAGUGAAAUGCGUAGAUAUCAGGAGGAACAUCCAUGGCGAAGGCAGCUACCUGGGCCAACACUGACACUGAGGCACGAAAGCGUGGGGAGCAAACAGG
rnacentral:rRNA from 2 species